rnacentral:rRNA from 1 species
CUACCGUAGGUGAACCUGCGGAAGGAUCAUUACCGAGUGAGGGCCCUCUGGGUCCAACCUCCCACCCGUGUUUAUUUUACCUUGUUGCUUCGGCGGGCCCGCCUUAACUGGCCGCCGGGGGGCUUACGCCCCCGGGCCCGCGCCCGCCGAAGACACCCUCGAACUCUGUCUGAAGAUUGUAGUCUGAGUGAAAAUAUAAAUUAUUUAAAACUUUCAACAACGGAUCUCUUGGUUCCGGCAUCGAUGAAGAACGCAGCGAAAUGCGAUACGUAAUGUGAAUUGCAAAUUCAGUGAAUCAUCGAGUCUUUGAACGCACAUUGCGCCCCCUGGUAUUCCGGGGGGCAUGCCUGUCCGAGCGUCAUUUCUGCCCUCAAGCACGGCUUGUGUGUUGGGCCCCGUCCUCCGAUCCCGGGGGACGGGCCCGAAAGGCAGCGGCGGCACCGCGUCCGGUCCUCGAGCGUAUGGGGCUUUGUCACCCGCUCUGUAGGCCCGGCCGGCGCUUGCCGAUCAACCCAAAUUUUUAUCCAGGUUGACCUCGAUCAGUAGGAACCCGGCGAUGGUU